rnacentral:misc_RNA from 1 species
GAUGAAGAACGUAGCGAAAUGCGAUAAGUAAUGUGAAUUGCAGAAUUCAGUGAAUCAUCGAAUCUUUGAACGCACCUUGCACCCUUUGGCAUUCCGAAGGGUAUGCUCGUUUGAGUGUCAUUGUACUCUCACACUUCCAAUUCUUUGGAUUGGGAGCGGUGGACUUGGGUGCUGCUGCUUACCGUGGCUCACCUCAAAUGUGUUAGUGCAACCGUUGGUUAGACAUAGUACAGCGUGAUAAGUAUCUUCGCUGGCGCCUCACCAGAGGGUGGCUGAUCAGGGCUUUGUGCUUCCAAUCGUCUUCGGACAACCGAUGACAACUUGACCUCAAAUCGAGUAGGACUACCCGCUGAACUUAAGCAUAUCAAUAAGCGGAGGA